GAAAAAUCUAUCAAACUAUGUCUCAAUGUUUCUCAAAAUUACUGUAGCUGGCUAAUACAUGUUAUCAUGCUUUGUGAUACACCCAGUUUUAUGCAGUUGAAGUCCAAACAACAUGUCGCCCUGUGACCUACAGUAGAUCCUGAUAUACAACAUGGGGGGAACAAUAAAAUUGGCCAUGCUUUUUUGUUCUACCAGAUCUGCGAUGAGAAGGUUCUAGCUAGUGGAUCCCUCUGUCCUUCGACUCUUAUUGUAUGCAGUUGUCCAGUUUAUCAGGUCCCAGCCUCCCGUGACAGUUAUGAUUAUUUAUUUACAAGUUAAUUAACAUUUGCUUUAGCACCAUCUGUACCUGAUAGAGCAGAUCUAGUCCCACGUGCGAGAGAUUCAUCACUGGGAGGAAGACUAGAGCAGACCCAGAAGUUGUGACUGAAUGGAUGCACAUUUGAGGGCCCCAGGAUGGUCCAUUUACUUUGUGUUGUUAUAAUUUAUGCUAUGAAAUCCUACGAAUCCUACGAUAAAUCAUUAAAAUCCAGACUGAAAAUAUUUACACAAGAAGCAACCUAAUAUCACACAGUCAACCUCUCAGUCAUUUAGUAAGUUCACCAUUCUGCCAUUCCCACUGUUAAACAUUGCACAGUGCACUACGAUUUCAUUGGGGAAGUUCCUCCUCAUAGCAAAUAGCUGGCAAAACAUUCCAAGCAAUGUCUACACCACCUAUGUGCCCAUGGAGACGGAGCUGCUGCUUCUGCUGCUGCUGGCAGUCACUGAGGGGCAAAGUAGUACUUCAAUAAAGGAAGCAGCAUGACAACUGGAGGCUGACUAGAAGGGAGGAACGAUCAGAGUGGUUAACUAUAGAUUCUCAGAGAGUAGGCUAUUGUCCAGUCUCAGACCACAUAAAAGACCACAUACCAUAUGUAUCCUCCAGAAACCUGUUACUUUUUAGCCUACUGUGCUUUAAGAGGCUAGCAUCAAAGUGAAAGUCAUACAGAGUAUUUUCAAAGGGAAGAGCCAGGACAGCUAGCAACAUAACAUGGAGCUGCCAGGAGCAGAAGGAUUGGUGAGCGAUCAGAUAGGGCAGAAUUGAUGACCUGGCUCAGGAUGGAUUUCUGGGAGAGCGGGCUGCCAGAGCGAGGUAAUACUUUCAGACUCUUAUCGGCACUGGCAUAAGCUGAGUGCUGCAUCACCCACUUCCCAGCGUCAGCUUAUUAUGAGAGGCCAUGAUGUGAUUGCCUUGUACUGCUUUUUUGUGUUCCAGCAGGGUCUGUGUGUGUGCUGGGCUGGCUGGACAGAGUGGGCUGGUGCUUGUGGAGAUGGCCUCAUGUCACUCAUUACAAACUCCAUGGAGUUCCCAGCUAUCAAUAUAGAAUGCAUUUUUUUUGCAAGCAGAAAUCCAAUUACGGAUAGUCUAGAAGCUGUUAGGGUCAGGAAUAAAAGUUCAAAAAGACAGAGUUAGUUAUUUAAUUUCCAUCUUUGUUGUGGAUGAUACAUGUAAUAAGAUGUCUUAAUUAAAGCAUUGCUGAGAUGGGAAAAGUUAACAGUGUUCU
rnacentral:lncRNA from 1 species